CGGCACGGGUGAGUAACACGUAUCCAACCUGCCGUCUACUCUUGGACAGCCUUCUGAAAGGAAGGUUAAUACAAGAUGGCAUCAUGAGUCCGCAUGUUCACAUGAUUAAAGGUAUUCCGGUAGACGAUGGGGAUGCGUUCCAUUAGAUAGUAGGCGGGGUAACGGCCCACCUAGUCUUCGAUGGAUAGGGGUUCUGAGAGGAAGGUCCCCCACAUUGGAACUGAGACACGGUCCAA
rnacentral:rRNA from 1 species